rnacentral:rRNA from 1 species
UGGAAGUAAAAGUCGUAACAAGGUCUCCGUUGGUGAACCAGCGGAGGGAUCAUUACCGAGUUUACAACUCCCAAACCCAAUGUGAACGUUACCAAUCUGUUGCCUCGGCGGGAUCUCUGCCCCGGGCGCGUCGCAGCCCCGGACCCCAUGGCGCCCGCCGGAGGACCAACCAAACUCUUUUUUCUCUCCGUCGCGGCCUACGUCGCGGCUCUGUUUUAUUUUGCUCUGAGCCUUUCUCGGCGACCCUAGCGGGCGUCUCGAAAAUGAAUCAAAACUUUCAACAACGGAUCUCUUGGUUCUGGCAUCGAUGAAGAACGCAGCGAAAUGCGAUAAGUAAUGUGAAUUGCAGAAUUCAGUGAAUCAUCGAAUCUUUGAACGCACAUUGCGCCCGCCAGUAUUCUGGCGGGCAUGCCUGUCCGAGCGUCAUUUCAACCCUCGAACCCCUCCGGGGGGUCGGCGUUGGGGAUCGGCCCCUCACCGGGCCGCCCCCGAAAUCCAGUGGCGGUCUCGCCGCAGCCUCUCCUGCGCAGUAGUUUGCACACUCGCACCGGGAGCGCGGCGCGGCCACAGCCGUAAAACACCCCAAACUCUGAAAUGUUGACCUCGGAUCAGGUAGGAAUACCC